rnacentral:lncRNA from 1 species
CUUGAGUAUAGAACUGUGAGCUAGAGCAACCUCUUUUUUUCUUAACAAAGAACCUAGCAUAAGGCAUUUUGUUAUGGCAAAGGAAAACCGUCUAAGGCCGUCCCUGAUCUGGGAAGAUCUGGCCCCUGCUCCGCUCAGCUGCUCGUCAGAGUGACAGGAUGAGGCCGUGGCAGAUCAGGGUGAGGUCCCUGGUCAUGGAGUCGGAGCCCUGACUUUGCACCCUGGCUCGCAGUUCACUAUCUAGGGCCCACAGUAGGGGGACAAAAGGGACAGCGUGGAUCAGAAGUGGCGGGACAAAUGGGGCCCUCUCCCGCUGCCCCUUGCCCUCUGUAGCUCCCCACUCUCAGAGGCAAUUUUCUUAAACACUCCAAAUCUCCCUGUCUUCAAAGAAAAAAUUACUUUUGAUAUUAUAAAAACAACGUUUGCCAUUGGAGAAAUUUGGAAAAAUGCAGAACAGUGUUAAGACAAAAGCCAAAGUCGUCUUUCAGACGCUAGAGCCCAGCUCUCCGCCCUUUUCCUUUCUAGAAGGAGUCCUGCCCACCUAGGCCCGGGACCCCGCCUCCUCCGGUAAUUAUAACUAACAUUAAAAGUGCCUCCCGGACCAAGUUAUUACUUCCAAGAAUAAUAGUCUCUGUUACUACAAGAAACUAAUUAACAGCAUGCAAUGAGGGGGAAAAAUUCAAUUAAUUAGUGGCUUAAUAAGCACCAGUGACGACUCUGGGCCCAGCUUGGGCCUCGGGGUAAGAGG